UUUCUGAAGACCACAUACCACUUACCUUUUAAAACUUGCUUUUUCAAUUUCACCAGACCAUUAUCAGAACAGAAGAAUGAAACGAAGGAGAAGGAAACGAAGAGAAGAGAAGAGAAGAGAAGAGAAGAUAAGAGAAAAUGAAGAGAAGAAUCAGAAACGAAGAAGAACAAGGAAGAAGAAGAAGUAAGUCUGGUGAUUUGAUGCUCUCCGUCUAAAGUCCAAACUACUGGCCGAAACGUUUCUUUACUGUCACUGCUUGCUGUGAUCCCCUCGCUUCAUCAGCACCUUUCCGCCUCCGCAUUCUCUAUCGAAUUUUCAGGACCCAAGGAAUGGCUGAAAGAGCAGAAGAAGAAAGCUUCAAAAUUCCUCUUGGCCCCUAUUGAUGCCUCACGAGAGAGCCUUCACCGUGUCUGCCUUCUAUUUAGUAUGCUUCGUUUUCUUCGUUUUAUACUUUUCUUUAGGAUUUUUCUGGUAGCUUUGAGCUUAAUUCGGUCAGGUUUUGUCAGCGGCAAGUGAUUUUGACCCAAGUUCAAGGAUUACUAAGGUCUGCUGCAAGGGACUGUGUUCCACUUCCACAUGAGAAAUUCGUUCGUGAAUUAUUCCCGAACCUGCUCAUCGAAUUAAACUUGAGUACUUUUUUUUUUUUUUUUCAUUCUGAAUUAUUCUAGAACCCAAAUUUUUAAUGAUGCA